GGCCCUGAUGAUAACGGUGUCUCUUCUUUCCUCGUCCGAUUCGACCAUGACGACAAGGGAUUUUAUCUCGUUCUCUUAAUGCGGAUGGUUUUGGAAAGGUAGAUAUUGCUUCGGUGAUGUUUGUCCAUUUUUUAAUCAUUUGCGUUUGCAAACGGGAACUUUUCUUGCCAGUGUUAUACAACACAUGCAGAUCUGAGCC
rnacentral:snoRNA from 23 species